rnacentral:rRNA from 1 species
CUACGGGCGGCUGCAGUGGGGAAUCUUGCACAAUGGGCGAAAGCCUGAUGCAGCGACGCCGCGUGCGGGACGAAGGCCUUCGGGUUGUAAACCGCUUUCAGCAGGGACGAGGCCGCAAGGUGACGGUACCUGCAGAAGAAGCCCCGGCUAACUACGUGCCAGCAGCCGCGGUAAUACGUAGGGGGCGAGCGUUAUCCGGAUCCAUUGGGCGUAAAGCGCGCGUAGGCGGCCUGCUAGGUCGGGACUCAAAUCCGGGGGCUCAACCCCCGCCCGGUCCCGAUACCGACAGGCUUGAGUCUGGUAGGGGAAGGCGGAAUUCCAAGUGUAGCGGUGGAAUGCGCAGAUAUUUGGAAGAACACCGGUGGCGAAGGCGGCCUUCUGGGCCACGACUGACGCUGAGGCGCGAAAGCUAGGGGAGCGAACAGGAUUAGAUACCCGGGUAGUC